GACCAGUCUUUGGUUAUACAUUUGGCAAUUACUUGGGAGUUGUUUUGAGGCCACCUACUAAAAAUUCCUGGGAUAGAGAUUACAAAUUAAACCCAUAAGCCAGGUAGACGAGGAGCAAGGAAACGUCUGGGAAUUCGUAUUUCAUCGGCAUAUAUUUAAAACAUCUUAUGCUUCUAGUUUCCGGUGUGAGUCAACCUCUGCGAACUGAACAUCACUAAAACUCUAAGGAAACGUCUCUUUUUAAUCCUCUGAAAAAUCAAUGCAUUUAAAAACUGCCCGUUGUGUCGACGCACGGAAAGAGGGUAGAAAACAGCUUGUCUAACUCCAAGGGAGAGGUGCCCCUGCCUCCCCGGGCAGCCAGGGCCCAGGCCCGGUAACGGAGUCGUCCUCUUAAUGCCCAAAGCCGCCGGACGGGAUGCAGGUCGAGGACCGGCCGCGCGGCGAGGAGCGGGGAUGCAGGGAACAGGGCCCGCGUGACCAUUCCACCGGCUACGGCCGCCCCUGACACACACCCCAGAGGCAGUGUCCACGCAGCCGGAGUCCUGGAUGGCUUGGCCUCGGGUCGUGCUGGGCUUCUCGGUGCGCCCGCCCCCGCUCCCGCUCUGACUCAGCAUCCCAGCCUCCCACAGAGGGCGGGAGCGCUCCCCGCCGGGCGGCGCAGGCCUGACCGACCGCGCCCCGCGCCGCCUUGGCCCCUCAGCCCGCGGCCGUCUCACUUACCCAGCCGGGUCUCCGCCGCGCCACCGCCGGCGGGCUCCCGCGGCCUCCUCGAGCCCCAGGACACUUCCGGCUUCGCAAGCCCUGGCCGGGGGCCACGUGACCGACGGCCGGCGCGCCGGUGCGGGUGCGCGUGCGCACGCCUAUGGCCCGUCCGGUAGCCACCACAGCCGCGGCGGCAACUGCCGAGUCGGCUUCCGCGGCCACGGUAAUGAGGGGGAUAUCUGGAGACACACCCCGUCCACUGUUGCCCUCGCCCUUUACUCUAAAGGGGAAGUGAGGAGCCCUGAGCAGCGAACACAGUAAUUGGGAUUCCCGCAACUGCAAAUCCCGCCCCUACCCCGAGCGCCGGCCGACAGUAGGGCGGACCGACGCUGAGCAAGGGAUUACAUCCCAAGAUUUGCAGGUGUGCAGAACGUGGGACACGUGGGGGGCAGGCACAGACGGCCGGCAGAGCUGGGAGGGAUGGAUUCUAUGUUUUAAGGGCCCACUUUGGCAGCAGUGGAGCCAGAUUAUCGUCUCGCAGUAAUUCAGACUUUACAUUCUUUUUUUCAUUUUCCCAUCACCCAGAAAGACGUUAAAUUCUUAAAUGUAAAUAUGUUCA
rnacentral:antisense_RNA from 1 species